AGGGAAUAUUGCGCAAUGGGCGAAAGCCUGACGCAGCAAUGCCGCGUGAGUGAGGAAGGUUUUCGGAUUGUAAAGCUCUGUCAAGGUGGAAAAACGGCAUCUGUUCGAAUAGGGCAGGUGAUUGAUGGUACAC
rnacentral:rRNA from 1 species